rnacentral:rRNA from 1 species
UACCUAGCGGCGGACGGGUGAGUAAUGCUUAGGAAUCUGCCUAUUAGUGGGGGACAACAUUCCGAAAGGAAUGCUAAUACCGCAUACGUCCUACGGGAGAAAGCAGGGGACCUUCGGGCCUUGCGCUAAUAGAUGAGCCUAAGUCGGAUUAGCUAGUUGGUGGGGUAAAGGCCUACCAAGGCGACGAUCUGUAGCGGGUCUGAGAGGAUGAUCCGCCACACUGGGACUGAGACACGGCCCAGACUCCUACGGGAGGCAGCAGUGGGGAAUAUUGGACAAUGGGGGGAACCCUGAUCCAGCCAUGCCGCGUGUGUGAAGAAGGCCUUUUGGUUGUAAAGCACUUUAAGCGAGGAGGAGGCUACUAGUAUUAAUACUACUGGAUAGUGGACGUUACUCGCAGAAUAAGCACCGGCUAACUCUGUGCCAGCAGCCGCGGUAAUACAGAGGGUGCGAGCGUUAAUCGGAUUUACUGGGCGUAAAGCGUGCGUAGGCGGCUGAUUAAGUCGGAUGUGAAAUCCCUGAGCUUAACUUAGGAAUUGCAUUCGAUACUGGUCAGCUAGAGUAUGGGAGAGGAUGGUAGAAUUCCAGGUGUAGCGGUGAAAUGCGUAGAGAUCUGGAGGAAUACCGAUGGCGAAGGCAGCCAUCUGGCCUAAUACUGACGCUGAGGUACGAAAGCAUGGGGAGCAAACAGGAUUAGAUACCCUGGUAGUCCAUGCCGUAAACGAUGUCUACUAGCCGUUGGGGCCUUUGAGGCUUUAGUGGCGCAGCUAACGCGAUAAGUAGACCGCCUGGGGAGUACGGUCGNCAGACUAAAAACUCAAUGAAUUGACGGGGGCC